AGACCCGAAACCCGGUGAUCUAGCCAUGGGCAGGUUGAAGGUUGGGUAACACUAACUGGAGGACCGAACCGACUAAUGUUGAAAAAUUAGCGGAUGACCUGUGGCUGGGGGUGAAAGGCCAAUCAAACCGGGAGAUAGCUGGUUCUCCCCGAAAGCUAUUUAGGUAGCGCCUCGUGAACUCAUCUCCGGGGGUAGAGCACUGUUUCGGCUAGGGGGCCAUCCCGGCUUACCAACCCGAUGCAAACUGCGAAUACCGGAGAAUGUUAUCACGGGAGACACACGGCGGGUGCUAACGUCCGUCGUGAAGAGGGAAACAACCCAGACCGCCAGCUAAGGUCCCAAAGUCAUGGUUAAGUGGGAAACGAUGUGGGAAGGCCCAGACAGCCAGGAUGUUGGCUUAGAAGCAGCCAUCAUUUAAAGAAAGCGUAAUAGCUCACUGGUCGAGUCGGCCUGCGCGGAAGAUGUAACGGGGCUAAACCAUGCACCGAAGCUGCGGCAGCGACACUGUGUGUUGUUGGGUAGGGGAGCGUUCUGUAAGCCUGUGAAGGUGUGUCGUGAGGCAUGCUGGAGGUAUCAGAAGUGCGAAUGCUGACAUAAGUAACGAUAAAGCGGGUGAAAAGCCCGCUCGCCGGAAGACCAAGGGUUCCUGUCCAACGUUAAUCGGGGCAGGGUGAGUCGACCCCUAAGGCGAGGCCGAAAGGCGUAGUCGAUGGGAAACGGGUUAAUAUUCCCGUACUUGGUGUUACUGCGAAGGGGGGACGGAGAAGGCUAUGUUGGCCGGGCGACGGUUGUCCCGGUUUAAGCGUGUAGGUGUGUGUUCCAGGUAAAUCCGGUUCACUUUAACACUGAGGCGUGACGACGAGGCACUACGGUGCUGAAGCAACAAAUGCCCUGCUUCCAGGAAAAGCCUCUAAGCAUCAGGUAACAUCAAAUCGUACCCCAAACCGACACAGGUGGUCAGGUAGAGAAUACCAAGGCGCUUGAGAGAACUCGGGUGAAGGAACUAGGCAAAAUGGUGCCGUAACUUCGGGAGAAGGCACGCUGACACGUAGGUGAAGUGAUUUACUCAUGGAGCUGAAGUCAGUCGAAGAUACCAGCUGGCUGCAACUGUUUAUUAAAAACACAGCACUGUGCAAACACGAAAGUGGACGUAUACGGUGUGACGCCUGCCCGGUGCCGGAAGGUUAAUUGAUGGGGUCAGCGCAAGCGAAGCUCCUGAUCGAAGCCCCGGUAAACGGCGGCCGUAACUAUAACGGUCCUAAGGUAGCGAAAUUCCUUGUCGGGUAAGUUCCGACCUGCACGAAUGGCGUAAUGAUGGCCAGGCUGUCUCCACCCGAGACUCAGUGAAAUUGAACUCGCUGUGAAGAUGCAGUGUACCCGCGGCAAGACGGAAAGACCCCGUGAACCUUUACUAUAGCUUGACACUGAACAUUGAGCCUUGAUGUGUAGGAUAGGUGGGAGGCUUUGAAGUGUGGACGCCAGUCUGCAUGGAGCCGACCUUGAAAUACCACCCUUUAAUGUUUGAUGUUCUAACGUGGACCCGUGAUCCGGGUUGCGGACAGUGUCUGGUGGGUAGUUUGACUGGGGCGGUCUCCUCCUAAAGAGUAACGGAGGAGCACGAAGGUUGGCUAAUCCUGGUCGGACAUCAGGAGGUUAGUGCAAUGGCAUAAGCCAGCUUGACUGCGAGCGUGACGGCGCGAGCAGGUGCGAAAGCAGGUCAUAGUGAUCCGGUGGUUCUGAAUGGAAGGGCCAUCGCUCAACGGAUAAAAGGUACUCCGGGGAUAACAGGCUGAUACCGCCCAAGAGUUCAUAUCGACGGCGGUGUUUGGCACCUCGAUGUCGGCUCAUCACAUCCUGGGGCUGAAGUAGGUCCCAAGGGUAUGGCUGUUCGCCAUUUAAAGUGGUACGCGAGCUGGGUUUAGAACGUCGUGAGACAGUUCGGUCCCUAUCUGCCGUGGGCGCUGGAGAACUGAGGGGGGCUGCUCCUAGUACGAGAGGACCGGAGUGGACGCAUCACUGGUGUUCGGGUUGUCAUGCCAAUGGCACUGCCCGGUAGCUAAAUGCGGAAGAGAUAAGUGCUGAAAGCAUCUAAGCACGAAACUUGCCCCGA
rnacentral:rRNA from 1 species